CCGUAACUAGCCUCUUUUAAUAGUGAGGCAAAAAAUUUUGGGCGAGGGGUCUGGGGGCCGCUUAAGGCCCCCAGAAGCUCUGAGAAAAAUAACGCAAAAUCGUGCAUUCUGAGCGUUUCCCAGACUCUUUCUUGCAUUGAAACGGCUUAAUUCAUAUUUAGAUAUUUUUUUCGACAAUCAGGUCCCAAAGCAAAAACAAAGAUUCAUUGUAAUUUAAGACUUUUAGGUAUUAGAGACAACAUUAAAAGACCGA
rnacentral:lncRNA from 1 species